CAGAAAGUUUGAAGUGGGAAGUUUGGAGUUUCCCAACUAGGAAGGCUGAAAGGAAAAAGUCAUUCCGUGAUGCUAAUGCACAAGUGGCAGGUAGCGAAGGCUAGUGAGUUGUUAUGUUUUCAUUGGUUCAAACCAAUUUGACCUCAGAAACACUAUUUAAAUGUGGUCAUGAUGCUGACAGCUUGCUUCCUGGGGAGAUAUAUACAACUGUGCAGAAUUACUGGUGUAUAUUGUAGCAAGGGAUUAAAAUUAAAAGUUUAAACUUUAUGCUCAUCAUUGUGGGUCUUUUGAAUACGUGGAGAACCAAGGUGCUCAGCCAGCCCUGCUUCAGGAUGAGGAACACUAGACAUCUUCCUGGCUUUGUGAAAGGAUGCUGCAAAAUACACGCGACUGUUGAUAGCUAAAAUCUACUUCUGGAUCUCAGUCUUCAUUUCAGCUUUUUAUGAAGAUAAACAGGGACAUUGAAACUCUUAAAUCCUUUUAAGGUAUUUUUGUUGGAUGAGAACUUUCAGCCACUGCACAGAGUGAGUCUGAUAUCCCUCCGACACCAUCCAGUGCGUCCUCCCUCAGUCACAGGGCAAUAAAAGUAAGUAGCUGCUACCUUGAACCUCCGCCCCAGUUUCUGCCGGGGGCAGGACACCUAGCACUUUGUUUUCACUAUUUCUUGUUUCAUGAGUCUUCAUUUUCUUUCUAAUAAACCUGAGGCACUGGGUGCUUUCACUUCAUAUGGAAAUGAGUGGAGGAACGGGCAGUUGAACCAUAGCCUGGUUUCAAUUUGAAAGGAAUUG